GCUAGCUUUGACAGCAUAUACUAAAAUUGGAAAAAUACAGAGAUUAACAUGGCCCCUGUGCAAAAAUGACACACAAAUUCAUAUUUUAAAAAUAUUU
rnacentral:snRNA from 1 species